rnacentral:tRNA from 1 species
CUCUCUGUAGCUCAGUUGGUUAGAGCGCUGCAAAUCGCAGAGCUGCAGGUUGGACUCCUGCCAGAGGUC